rnacentral:tRNA from 1 species
CGGGCAGUAGCGCAGUCUGGCUAGCGCACCAGCUUUGGGAGCUGGGGGUCGUGGGUUCGAAUCCCACCUGCCCGACCA